GCGCCUGUGGCUCAAUGGAAGAGCAACGGACUUCUAAUCCGUAGGUUGACCGUUCGAGUCGGUCCAGGCGUA
rnacentral:tRNA from 1 species